rnacentral:rRNA from 1 species
UACAGAGGGUGCGAGCGUUAAUCGGAAUUACUGGGCGUAAAGCGCACGUAGGUGGCGACGUAAGUCGGGUGUGAAAGCCCCGGGCUCAACCUGGGAAUUGCAUUCGAGACUGCAUUGCUGGAGUACGGAAGAGGAAGGCGGAAUUCCCGGUGUAGCGGUGAAAUGCGUAGAUAUCGGGAGGAACAUCAAUGGCGAAGGCGGCCUUCUGGUCCAGUACUGACACUCAAGUGCGAAAGCGUGGGGAGCAAACAGG